GAUGAACGCUGGCGGCGUGCCUAAUACAUGCAAGUCGAGCGAACAGACGAGGAGCUUGCUCCUCUGACGUUAGCGGCGGACGGGUGAGUAACACGUGGAUAACCUACCUAUAAGACUGGGAUAACUUCGGGAAACCGGAGCUAAUACCGGAUAAUAUAUUGAACCGCAUGGUUCAAUAGUGAAAGACGGUUUUGCUGUCACUUAUAGAUGGAUCCGCGCCGCAUUAGCUAGUUGGUAAGGUAACGGCUUACCAAGGCAACGAUGCGUAGCCGACCUGAGAGGGUGAUCGGCCACACUGGAACUGAGACACGGUCCAGACUCCUACGGGAGGCAGCAGUAGGGAAUCUUCCGCAAUGGGCGAAAGCUUGACGGAGCAACGCCGCGUGAGUGAUGAAGGUCUUCGGAUCGUAAAACUCUGUUACUAGGGAAGAACAAAUGUGUAAGUAACUAUGCACGUCUUGACGGUACCUAAUCAGAAAGCCACGGCUAACUACGU
rnacentral:rRNA from 1 species